rnacentral:rRNA from 1 species
UACGAAGGGGGCUAGCGUUGCUCGGAAUUACUGGGCGUAAAGCGCACGUAGGCGGCUUCUUAAGUCGGUGGUGAAAUCCUGGAGCUCAACUCCAGAACUGCCUUCGAUACUGGGAAGCUCGAGUCCGGGAGAGGUGAGUGGAACUGCGAGUGUAGAGGUGAAAUUCGUAGAUAUUCGACAAGAACACCAGUGGCGAAGGCGGCUGUCUGGUCCGGGUUCUGACGCUGAGGCGCGAAAAGCGUGGGGGAGCAAACAGG